UACAGAGGUGGCAAGCGUUGUUCGGAAUUACUGGGCGUAAAGGGCGCGUAGGCGGCCCUCUUAGUCGCGUGUGAAAGCCCCGGGCUCAACCUGGGAACGGCGCGCGAAACGGGAGGGCUGGAGUUCGGGAGAGGAGAGUGGAAUUCCCAGUGUAGAGGUGAAAUUCGUAGAUAUUCGCAAGAACACCAGUGGCGAAGGCGGCUCACUGGCCCGGUACUGACGCUGAGGCACGAAAGCGUGGGGAGCAAACAGG
rnacentral:rRNA from 1 species